rnacentral:rRNA from 1 species
GAUGAACGCUAGCGGCAGGCUUAACACAUGCAAGUCGAGGGGUAUAGUUCUUCGGAAUUAGAGACCGGCGCACGGGUGCGUAACGCGUAUGCAAUCUACCUUUCACAGAGGGAUAGCCCCAGAGAAAUUUGGAUUAAUACCUCAUAGUAUAGCAGUUUCGCAUGAAACCACUAUUAAAGUUCCAACGGUAAAGAUGAGUAUGCGUCCCAUUAGCUAGAUGGUAAGGUAACGGCUUACCAUGGCAAUGAUGGGUAGGGGUCCUGAGAGGGAGAUCCCCCACACUGGUACUGAGACACGGACCAGACUCCUACGGGAGGCAGCAGUGAGGAAUAUUGGACAAUGGGCGCAAGCCUGAUCCAGCCAUGCCGCGUGCAGGAAUAAGGUCCUAUGGAUUGUAAACUGCUUUUAUACAGGAAGAAACACUCCCUCGUGAGGGAACUUGACGGUACUGUAUGAAUAAGCAUCGGCUAAACUCCCGUGG